rnacentral:rRNA from 1 species
AUUGAACGCUGGCGGCAGGCCUAACACAUGCAAGUCGAACGAGUGGCGGACGGGUGAGUAAUGUCUGGGAAACUGCCUGAUGGAGGGGGAUAACUCCUGGAAACGGUAGCUAAUACCGCAUACCAUCGGAUGUGCCCAUAUGGGAUUAGCUAGUAGGUGUGGUAACGGCUCACCUAGGCGACGAUCCCUAGCUGGUCUGAGAGGAUGACAAGCCAAACGGGAACGGAGACACGGUCCAGACGCCUACGGGAGGCAGCAGUGGGGAAUAUUGCACAAGGGGCGAAAGCCUGAUGCAGCCAUGCCGCGUGUAUGAAGAAGGCCUUCGGGGUGUAAAGUACUUUCAGAGGGGAGGCGUGACCCGCAGAAGAAGCACCGGCUAACUCCGUGCCAGCAGCCGCGGUAAUUC